rnacentral:rRNA from 1 species
AUUGAACGCUGGCGGCAGGCCUAACACAUGCAAGUCGAACGGUAACAGGAAGCAGCUUGCUGCUUUGCUGACGAGUGGCGGGCGGGUGAGUAAUGUCUGGGAAACUGCCUGAUGGAGGGGGAUAACUACUGGAAACGGUAGCUAAUACCGCAUAACGUCGCAAGACCAAAGAGGGGGACCUUAGGGCCUCUUGCCAUCGGAUGUGCCCAGAUGGGAUUAGCUAGUAGGUGGGGUAACGGCUCACCUAGGCGACGAUCCCUAGCUGGUCUGAGAGGAUGACCAGCCACACUGGAACUGAGACACGGUCCAGACUCCUACGGGAGGCAGCAGUGGGGAAUAUUGCACAAUGGGCGCAAGCCUGAUGCAGCCAUGCCGCGUGUAUGAAGAAGGCCUUCGGGUUGUAAAGUACUUUCAGCGGGGAGGAAGGGAGUAAAGUUAAUACCUUUGCUCAUUGACGUUACCCGCAGAAGAAGCACCGGCUAACUCCGUG